rnacentral:rRNA from 1 species
CAGUCGCCACGGGAAUACGGAGGGAGCUAGCGUUGUUCGGAAUUACUGGGCGUAAAGCGCACGUAGGCGGUUAUUCAAGUCAGAGGUGAAAGCCCGGGGCUCAACCCCGGAACUGCCUUUGAAACUAGAUGACUGGAAUCUUGGAGAGGUCAGUGGAAUUCCGAGUGUAGAGGUGAAAUUCGUAGAUAUUCGGAAGAACACCAGUGGCGAAGGCGACUGACUGGACAAGUAUUGACGCUGAGGUGCGAAAGCGUGGGGAGCAGACAGGAUUAGAUACCCCUGUAGUCCCUGUCCUUAUACC